AAGCGCGCGUAGGCGGUUUUUUAAGUCUGAUGUGAAAGCCCACGGCUCAACCGUGGAGGGUCAUUGGAAACUGGAAAACUUGAGUGCAGAAGAGGAAAGUGGAAUUCCAUGUGUAGCGGUGAAAUGCGCAGAGAUAUGGAGGAACACCAGUGGCGAAGGCGACUUUCUGGUCUGUAACUGACGCUGAUGUGCGAAAGCGUGGGGAUCAAACAGGAUUAGAUACCCUGGUAGUCCACGCCGUAUACGAUGAGUGCUAAGUGUUAGGGGGUUUCCGCCCCUUAAUGCUGCACCUAAUCCAUUAAGCACUCCCCCCGGGGAGUACGACCGCUAGGUUGAAACUCAGAGGAUUUGACGGGGACCCGCACAAGCGGUGGAUCAUGUGGUUUAGUUCCAACCAACGCGAAGACCCUUACCUUCUCUUGACAUCUUCUGACCC
rnacentral:rRNA from 1 species